GUGCUCGCUUCAGAAGUAUAUAUACUAAAACUGGAACAAUACAGAAAAGAUUGGCAUGGCCCCUGUGCAAGGGUGACACUCAAAUUCAUGAAGCGUUCCAUAUGUUU